rnacentral:rRNA from 1 species
AACGAACGCUUGCGGCGCGCCUAAUACAUGCAAGUCGAACGAGGUAGCAAUACCUAGUGGCGCACGGGUGAGUAACGCGUGGAUAAUCUGCCCUUCAGUGGGGGAAUAACCAUCCGAAAGGAUGGCUAAUACCGCAUGAGGCCACAGUUCCUGCGGGAACAGAGGUUAAAGAUUUAUCGCUGAAGGAUGAGUCUGCGUGGGAUUAGCUAGUUGGUGGGGUAACGGCCUACCAAGGCGACGAUCUCUAACUGGUCUGAGAGGAUGACCAGUCACACUGGAACUGAGACACGGUCCAGACUCCUACGGGAGGCAGCAGUAGGGAAUAUUGCGCAAUGGGGGAAACCCUGACGCAGCGACGCCGCGUGAGUGAUGAAGGCCUUAGGGUCGUAAAGCUCUGUUGUACGGGAAGAAACAAAUGACGGUACCGUAUAAGAAGGACCGGCUAACUUCGUGCCAGCAGCCGCGGU